GCCCCAUUUUGAAACUCCCUUGAAAGUUUAUUGAAGUUUGGAUAGCUAUUGUAUUGCAGUCAUGUGAGUUUGUUGGAUAAAGAUUCACCUACAGUUUGAUGUUUUUCCCUGCCAGCGUUGUCUUUGGAGAGGGAAAUGCAACCCUAUGAGUUGCGUUGUGUUGGUGCUUCCGCACCGAUGUCGUCUUUGGAGAGGGAAGCGCAAUCUUGAGAGUUGCUUUGUAUUUUGAUGCUUUGUGUUGGUGCCUUUGUGUAGGCGUUUCUGAAUCUUCCUUGUGAACUGCGGAUUGUGCUAUUUGUGAACUGUUGUGAGGGAAUUAUUGGUUUCAAUAAGAAUCUUAUCAAGGGGAAGUGUUGGAAUUGGUGAGAUUCCAUUUUAAGGGGAAGCGUUAUGGAAAGUCAAUAUGGAUUU
rnacentral:misc_RNA from 1 species